rnacentral:rRNA from 1 species
UGGGGAAUAUUGGACAAUGGGCGCAAGCCUGAUCCAGCCAUGCCGCGUGAGUGAAGAAGGCCCUAGGGUUGUAAAGCUCUUUCAGUGGGGAGGAUAAUGACGUUACCCACAGAAGAAGCCCCGGCUAACUCCGUGCCAGCAGCCGCGGUAAUACAGAGGGGGCAAGCGUUGUCCGGACUUACUGGGCGUAAAGCGCACGCAGGUGGUAAGGCAAGUGGGGUGUGAAAGCCGCCAGCUCAACUGGCGGAGGCCAUCCCAAACUGCCUCACUUGAGGCCUGUAGAGGUAUGUGGAAUUGCCGGUGUAGUGGUGAAAUGCGUAGAGAUCGGCAGGAACACCCAGGGGGAAACCAGCAUACUGGACAGGUCCUGACACUCAGGUGCGACAGCGUGGGGAGCGAACCGGAUUAGAUACCCCGGUAGUCC